AUUGAACGCUGGCGGCAUGCCUUACACAUGCAAGUCGAACGGCAGCACGGGAGCUUGCUCCUGGUGGCGAGUGGCGAACGGGUGAGUAAUGCAUCGGAACGUGCCCUGAAGUGGGGGAUAACGUAGCGAAAGUUACGCUAAUACCGCAUAUUCUGUGAGCAGGAAAGCAGGGGAUCUUCGGACCUUGCGCUUUUGGAGCGGCCGAUGUCGGAUUAGCUAGUUGGUGGGGUAAAGGCCCACCAAGGCGACGAUCCGUAGCGGGUCUGAGAGGAUGAUCCGCCACACUGGAACUGAGACACGGUCCAGACUCCUACGGGAGGCAGCAGUGGGGAAUUUUGGACAAUGGGCGCAAGCCUGAUCCAGCCAUGCCGCGUGAGUGAAGAAGGCCUCGGUGUAAG
rnacentral:rRNA from 1 species